UCUAUUCACUCGACUAUACAGAACAGGCACAACGCAGAAUAAAAUAUGUAGAUACGUUAGACGAAGAAACAUUUUACGAAAUUGCUCAAAAGUUUUUACAAAACUUUUCUUUUGCUGUUUAAUUCGGCUUCAACUGAACACGCAUAUAUGAUUUACUAUUCGACUUUUCCGUUUCAACUUGCUAUAAUAAACACGAAGAGAGCGUACUAGACAUACGCUCUCGGGUAGACCGUUUAAGACGGUAGCUUUAAUUUAUUGGUUAAUAAACCCGUCAAUCUUCGCUAAAAGUUAUGACGGGUUUAUUUUUUGUCGUUUUUAUUACUGAUUUUGACAAUUAAUGUUGCGAAAGCAAUCGCAAGCAUCAAUGCUUCAAAGACAGUCACUACUAUUCCUUUCUAGGGAAAGAGCAAACAAGCAAAAACAUUGGCAGUCCCCCUUUUUUUGAGAAAUUGCCACCGUCAUAAACUUCCUACUUGUGUAGUAUAACACAUUUGUACCUUCCUAGAAUACGCUUACUUUCCUGAUUAUUCAACAGCCGCUUUCUUUUGUAAUAAAAAUCGCGCACCGUUUACUGGGAUAAAACGAUUCAGCCAACUAAAAUUUUUUAGACUAAACAGACCGACCAUCUUUUUUGAUGGUCGGUCUGUUUAGUCUAUUGCU
rnacentral:misc_RNA from 1 species